rnacentral:rRNA from 1 species
CCUACGGGUGACAGCAGUGAGGAAUAUUGGUCAAUGGCCGGAAGGCUGAACCAGCCAAGCCGCGUGAGGGAGGAAGGCGCAGAGCGUCGCAGACCUCUUUUGCCGGGGGACAAAAGGCCGGACUCGUCCGGUCAUGACGGUACCCGGAGAAAAAGCAUCGGCUAACUCCGUGCCAGCAGCCGCGGUAAUACGGAGGAUGCGAGCGUUAUCCGGAUUCAUUGGGUUUAAAGGGUGCGCAGGCGGGACUUUAAGGUGGCGGUAAAAUCGCGGGGCUGAACCCUGCCGAGCCGUCAGAACUGGGGGCCUUGAGUGCGGAGGAGGUAUGCGGAAUGAG